ACAUCUUUAUAAUACUAAAUUUAAGAUAAAAAAUUAUUCUUUAGGAUGUACUCAUAUAGUAAAGGGUGAUAAAUUUAAUAAAGUUCCAUAUUCAAGAAUUAAGAUAAAAAAAAUAAAAUAAAAGUCAUAAUCUAUACAUCUGUUGUUGGAAAUUUAAUAUAUGCCCAUAUUUGUAUGCAUCUAGAUAUUAUUUUGGUGUAUCAAUAUUUGGACUUAUCAACGUGAUCCA
rnacentral:lncRNA from 1 species